rnacentral:rRNA from 1 species
GCUGCUCGAUUCAGCCGACGUCAUGCUCCCGGCAUGGCGGCGCGGGAUUACUCAGGCCGCUGGUCUGCGGGGGGAACCUAAAGGGGGGGGGGACAUUUCCCCGCAAAACUUUUGGUUAAUACCUUAUUAUGUUGACGUUACCUGAAAAAUAGAGACCGGCUAACUCCGUGCCAGCAGCCGCGGUAAUACGGAAGGUCCCCGCGUUAAUCAGAAUUACUGGGUGUAAAGCGCGCGUAGGCGGUUUAACAGGUGUAUGUGAAACCCUGGACUCAACCUAGGAACUGCUUCCAACACUUCUAAUCUAGUAUACGAGAGAAGAGAGUAAAAUUUCUGGUGUAGCGGUGAAAUGCGUAGAUAUCAAAGAACACCAUUUCUUUUUGCUGCUCUCUGGCUCGCACUGACGCUGAGUGCUAAAGCGUGGGUACAACAAGAUUAAUACCCUGGUAUCCGAUCGUAAACUUGACCACUACCGGUGGGGAAUAUAACUGUUCGGUGGCAAUUUAACCUU